rnacentral:tRNA from 1 species
UUAGAAGAGGUACAAAAAACUGGUACAAAUUCUUAAAACAGUGUAUUGUUAAGUUGUUGAUUUAAAUUGUUUUAAACAUGGUAGCUUGCAAUCGAGAGUUCGAAUCUCUCACUCACCGCCA